rnacentral:lncRNA from 1 species
AUGGUGGAUGAGAUGAUGGAGUUCAGGAUCCUGCGAGGAGGAGGCAGGGCACUAAGUAGGAUCGCAACCCUGGACUUCAGGAGAGCAAACUUUGGCCUCUUCAGGGACCUACUCGGAGGAAUCCCAUGGGUUAGGCCCCUAGAAGGAAGGGGGGUUCAAGAGAGCUGGUUAAUAUUCAAACACCACUUCCUCCAGGCUCAAGAGCGGUGCAUCCCUAUGAGUAGAAAGUCAAGCAAAGGAGGUAGGAGACCUGCAUGGAUGAGCAAGGAGCUCCUGGCAAAACUCAACCAGAAGAAGGAGGUAUACAGAAAGUGGAAAGGGGGACAGGCCACUUGGGAGGAAUAUAGGAACGUUGUCAGAGUAUGCAGGGAUGUGACGAGGAAGGCUAAGGCCCGUUUGGAAUUAAAUCUGGCUAGAGAUGUCAAGGACAACAAGAAGGGCUUCUUCAAAUACAUCAGCAGCAAGAGGAAGACUAGGGAAAAUGUGGGCCCUUUGCUGAAUGGGGUGGGUGCCCUGGUGACGAAGGAUGCAGAGAAGGCAGAGUUACUGAAUGCCUUCUUUGCUUCAGUCUUUCCUGCUCAGGCCAGCCCUCAGGAACCCCAGACCCUGGAGGCAAGAGAGAAAGCAUGGAGAAAGGAAGACUUUCCCUUGGUCAAGGAGGAUCGGGUUAGAGAUCAUUUAAGCAAACCUGACACCCACAAAUCCAUGGGCCCCAAUAGGAUGCACCCACGAGUGCUGAGGGAGCUGGCAGAUGUCAUUGCUAAGCCGUUCUCCAUCAUCUUUGAAAGGUCCUGGAGAACAGGAGAGGUGCCUGAGGACUGGAAGAAAGCCAAUGUCACCCCAGUCUUCAAAAAGGGCAAGAAGGAGGACCCAGGGAACUACAGGCCAGUCAGCCUCAGCUGCAUCCCUGGAAAGGUGAUGGAGCAGCUCAUCCUGGAGGCCAUCUCCAAGCAUGUGGAGGACAAGAAAGUGAUCAGGAGUAGUCAGCAUGGCUUCACCAAGGGGAAAUCAUGCCUAACCAAUCUGAUAGCCUUCUCUGAUGGAAUGACUGGCUGGGUAGAUGAGGGGAGAGCAGUGGAUGUUGUCUCCCUUGACUUCAGCAAGGCUUUUGACACUGUCUCCCAGAACAUCCUCAUAGGCAAGCUCAGGAAGUGUGGGCUAGAUGAGUGGACAGGGAGGUGGACUGAGAACUGGCUGAAUGGCAGAGCUCAGAGGGUUGUGAUCAGCAACGCAGAGUCUAGUUGGAGGCCUGUAGCUAGCGGUGUCCCCCAGGGGUCAGUACUGGGUCCAGUCUUGUUCAAGUUCUUCAUCAAUGACUUGGAUGAAGGGACAGAGUGCACCCUCAGCAAGUUUUCUGACGAUACCAAACUGGGAGGAGUGGCGGAUACACCAGAGGGCUGUGCUGCCAUUCAGAGAGACCUGGACAGGCUGGAGAGGUGGGCGGAGAGGAACCUCAUGAAGUUCAACAAAAGCAAGUGCACCUGGGGAGGAAUAACCCCAUGCAGCAGUACAGGUUGGGGGUUGACCUGCUGGAAAGCAGCUCUGCCGAGAAGGACCUGGGAGUGCUGGUGGACACCAAGUUAA